ACCGGCGCACGGGUGCGUAACGCGUAUGCAAUCUACCUUUUACAGAGGGAUAGCCCAGAGAAAUUUGGAUUAAUACCUCAUAGUAUUAUUGAAUGGCAUCAUUUAAUAAUUAAAGUUCCAACGGUAAAAGAUGAGCAUGCGUCCCAUUAGCUAGAUGGUAAGGUAACGGCUUACCAUGGCGACGAUGGGUAGGGGUCCUGAGAGGGAGAUCCCCCACACUGGUACUGAGACACGGACCAGACUCCUACGGGAGGCAGCAGUGAGGAAUAUUGGUCAAUGGGCGCAAGCCUGAACCAGCCAUGCCGCGUGCAGGAUGACGGUCCUAUGGAUUGUAAACUGCUUUUGUACAGGAAGAAACAGUUCUACGUGUAGAACCUUGACGGUACUGUAAGAAUAAGGAUCGGCUAACUCCGUGCCAGCAGCCGCGGUAAUACGGAGGAUCCAAGCGUUAUCCGGAAUCAUUGGGUUUAAAGGGUCCGUAGGCGGUUUUGUAAGUCAGUGGUGAAAGCCCAUCGCUCAACGGUGGAACGGCCAUUGAUACUGCAAGACUUGAAUUACUAGGAAGUAACUAGAAUAUGUAGUGUAGCGGUGAAAUGCUUAGAUAUUACAUGGAAUACCAAUUGCGAAGGCAGGUUACUACUAGUGGAUUGACGCUGAUGGACGAAAGCGUGGGGAGCGAACAGGAUUAGAUACCCUGGUAGUCCACGCCGU
rnacentral:rRNA from 1 species